UUUGGCCUACGGGGGGCAGCAGUGGGGGAUAUUGCACAAUGGGGGGAACCCUGAUGCAGCGACGCCGCGUGGGUGAAGAAGCGCCUCGGCGCGUAAAGCCCUGUCAGCAGGGAAGGAAAUGACGGUACCUGAAGAAGAAGCCCCGGCUAACUACGUGCCAGCAGCCGCGGUAAUACGUAGGGGGCAAGCGUUAUCCGGAUUUACUGGGUGUAAAGGGAGCGUAGACGGCGGUGCAAGCCAGAUGUGAAAGCCCGGGGCUCAACCCCGGGACUGCAUUUGGA
rnacentral:rRNA from 1 species